UUCCCCUAGUAGUGGCGAAUGAAGCGGGAAAAGCUCAAGUUUGAAAUCCGGCGGCUCGUCCUCUGGAGUUGUAAGCUGAAGAGGCUGUGACCGACGUGGGCCGGGUCCAAUUCCCUUGGAACAGGGAGUCAUGGAGGGUGAGAACCCCGUCUGUGACUCGGAUCCCAUCGUCCUAGUGUCGCGGUCUCCAAGAGUCGGGUUGUUUGGGAAUGCGGCUCAAAAUGGGUGGUAAAUCUCAUCUAAAGCUAAAUAUUGGCGAGAGACCGAUAGCAAACAAGUAGAGUGAUCGAAAGAUGAAAAGCACUUUGAAAAGAAAGUGAAACAGUACGUGAAAUUGUUGAAAGGGAAGCGUUUGGCAUCAGCCCAUGGCCUCCGACGAUCAUCCGGGCCUCGUGUCCGGUGCACUUGUCGGGGGUCGGGCCAGCAUCGGCUUCGUCCGUCGGAGAAAGGUCCAGAGGACGUGGCUCCCUCACGGGAGCGUUAUAACUCUGGGCGUCAUACGACGUGACGGGGCCGAGGUCCACGGUGUUCUCGCCCAGGAUGCUGGCGUAAUGGUUCCAAGCGACCCGUCUUGAAACACGGACCAAGGAGUCUAACAUCUAUGCGAGUGUUUGGGUGUCAAGCCCGUCCGCGCAAUGAAAGUGAAUGCAGGCGGGAGCCUUUAGAGGGUGCACCGCCGACCGGUCCGGGGGUUUACCGAAG
rnacentral:rRNA from 1 species